GACGAACCGUGCGAACGUUGUUCGGAAUCACUGGGCUUAAAGGGCGCGUAGGCGGGCUGCUAAGUCAGGGGUGAAAGCCCACGGCUCAACCGUGGAAGUGCCUUUGAUACUGGCGGUCUGGAGGGAGGUAGGGGCGUGCGGAACUUCCGGUGGAGCGGUGAAAUGCGUAGAUAUCGGAAGGAACACCGGUGGCGAAAGCGGCGCGCUGGACCUCUUCUGACGCUGAGGCGCGAAAGCCAGGGGAGCAAACGGG
rnacentral:rRNA from 1 species